rnacentral:tRNA from 1 species
GCCCGGAUAGCCAAGUGGUUGGCCUGUCACAUUUCGUUGCAGGUCCAUAAACGGCGGCAGCCUGGAAAGCUGCUGUCCUUUGUGGACGCGUGCGUUCGAAUCGCACUCCGGGCG